rnacentral:lncRNA from 1 species
GCUUUGGAGAAGCCAGCUCGCUGUGAGUCCUGGGGAGGGCAGAGCAGAGGAGAACCUGACUGGGUUAGAAGCAUUUUAUAGAUGUCAUGAAAUGGGACAAAACCUAGAAAAAAAGGUGACUACGCAGACUCUGGCAAUCAUGUACAUGAUGCAUGCAUACUGCUUGGACUUCAUUCAGAUGUAGACAGAGCCCUGCCAUUGACUUGAAUCAACUCCAUACCCUGUACAGAGACCAAAGUCACAAAACACAGACUUCAGUCUUCCCUCCUUUUUGAUCACUGUCUUGACACCUGGGGUCCCAUGAUUUUGGCA